GCAAGCAGAUCUCUUGAGUUCUAUUGUGAGAAAGAAGGCUAUUUAUCAGCUACGAUAUUGUUUACUUGGUCAAGAAGAUGCUCGAAAGCAACACGGCACGUGCCAUUCUCAUGGCCGCAGCAGUGCUAAUUGGAUUCUCAACUCCUCCCCAUUUGAUAGAAAAUACACUGUCCAACUGCUUCUUAGGCUCAGGCACAGUCCUGAAGAAUGAAUUGCAGAAUGAGUUGCAGUCUCUUGGAGGAAGUGAUUUUACCCUCUCUUUAGAAUGGGCCUUGUUCAACCCAAGGCAAGGACUUUGCUUGAAAGAAAUUGACGUAUUGCAAACUGCUGAGGAGAACCUUGUUUCGAACGACUCUUCACCACUGAGCGAUGAAGACUCUCAUGUUCAUGCGAACACCUCUCUGGAUUUUAAGCAUUUUAACUCAUUUCCCCUCCCAUCAACUCUGGAUACUGAUUACUCGAAAACCCAAGCGUUUGACUACACGAUCAUCGUGUAUGAAGUUGAUCUGAAAUUGGAAUUGGAAACUGUCAGCCUUGUAUCGGAAUCGGAAUUUGACGGAACAGCCUCUGACUUGCGCUCGCAUCACUAUCGAUCAACACUGUCCUAUGGAGAUCUUCUCAACUCCUACUGGAAUGAAUGGACC